AGGUCUAUGUUGUAAGUUAUGGGUCCUACAGUAGGUCUAUGUUGUAAGUUAUGGGUCCUACAGUAGGUCUAUGUUGUAAGUUAUGGGUCCUACAGUAGGUCUAUGUUGUAAGUUAUGGGUCCUACAGUAGGUCUAUGUUGUAAGUUAUGGGUCCUACAGUAGGUCUAUGUUGUAAGUUAUGGGUCCUACAGUAGGUCUAUGUUGUAAGUUAUGGGUCCUACAGUAGGUCUAUGUUGUAAGUUAUGGGUCCUACAGUAGGUCUAUGUUGUAAGUUAUGGGUCCUACAGUAGGUCUAUGUUGUAAGUUAUGGGUCCUACAGUAGGUCUAUGUUGUAAGUUAUGGGU